rnacentral:rRNA from 1 species
CGGUCCUAAGGUAGCGAAAUUCCUUGUCGGGUAAGUUCCGACCUGCACGAAUGGCAUAAUGAUGGCCAGGCUGUCUCCACCCGAGACUCAGUGAAAUUGAAAUCGCCGUGAAGAUGCGGUGUACCCGCGGCUAGACGGAAAGACCCCGUGAACCUUUACUAUAGCUUGACACUGAACAUUGAAUUUUGAUGUGUAGGAUAGGUGGGAGACUUUGAAGUAGUCACGCCAGUGAUUAUGGAGUCGUCCUUGAAAUACCACCCUUUAACGUUUGAUGUUCUAACGAAGAUUACGAAACGUGGUCUCGGACAGUGUCUGGUGGGUAGUUUGACUGGGGCGGUCUCCUCCCAAAGAGUAACGGAGGAGCACGAAGGUUUGCUAAUCACGGUCGGACAUCGUGAGGUUAGUGCAAUGGUAUAAGCAAGCUUAACUGCGAGACAGACAAGUCGAGCAGGUACGAAAGUAGGUCAUAGUGAUCCGGUGGUUCUGUAUGGAAGGGCCAUCGCUCAACGGAUAAAAGGUACUCCGGGGAUAACAGGCUGAUACCGCCCAAGAGUUCAUAUCGACGGCGGUGUUUGGCACCUCGAUGUCGGCUCAUCACAUCCUGGGGCUGAAGUAGGUCCCAAGGGUAUGGCUGUUCGCCAUUUAAAGUGGUACGCGAGCUGGGUUUAGAACGUCGUGAGACAGUUCGGUCCCUAUCUGCCGUGGGCGUUGGAGAAUUGAUUGGGGCUGCUCCUAGUACGAGAGGACCGGAGUGGACGCACCACUGGUGUUCCGGUUGUGUCGCCAGACGCAUUGCCGGGUAGCUAAGUGCGGAAGAGAUAAGUGCUGAAAGCAUCUAAGCACGAAACUUGCCAAGAGAUGAGUUCUCCCAGAUUUAAAAUCUGUAAGGGUUGUUUAAGACUAAGACGUAGAUAGGUGCGGUGUGUAAGUGAUGUGAGUCAUUGAGCUAACGCAUACUAAUUGCCCGAGAGGCUUAACUAU